GGGGGGAGUCGUCUAGUGCUGAGGAGGAGGACACGGCCGAGGAUACCUCUACGCCUGCUGUUUGGUUGCGAGGUCCCUCGCGACUCCCAGAUAGGCCGAUACCUAUUGCCUUGCGCUCGCUGAUUCGACCGUGCGGGGAUAUGAAUUGGGCUGUUCUCAGUGGCGGUGCUCACAAACGCAAGGUCAACGGCAUCCUGGGUCUUUUGUGCAGGGAGCACUUCCCAGGCCUGGUCCACUAUCAAGGACGAUACGAGCCGGCCUGGACGUGAGACCACUACAUCGCCGCCAACAACGAUCAGUUGGAUCGGAGCGACAGAGCCUUUGAGAACAAGGCGGAGCGGGUAAAGGGCGAGCUCUGGAAUUUUUAUAGGUGUGAUGAGGGAUACGAGGAGCGAGCGGCAAUUGUGGUUGACAAUCGAUGCGUUAAACUCGUCAAGGACAUGCAUUAUGAGGCGCAAGUCCAGUGCGUCAUCAACUUUUGUGCACUUUUCCUAAAGCAGAAGAACGGGAAGCCUGACCCGAGAGCAAUACUUACAGGUUCCUGCGUGGUGGUGUCGUAAUGAUACCGUGUGCUGGGAGCGCAUAGUGGACAAGUGGUUCGACCCGGAGUGGCAGGAGAAGCACGACGCUGGCCAUCAGCGGCAAUUGCUAAUGCCAGGUCCAGCGCACCAUCAAGGCAGCCUCAACAACGACGAGUACAGGGCUAGAUGGGUACACACUACACAGACUCAUUUCUCUAAUCUAACGUUCAAUUCAGCAUAAUUUGUAAUCAACUUCUUCCUUUUUCGCAGUCGUCCUCACACCAAGGCCAGGAGUGCACCCCGUUCGUGGGAUGGGCUCUGGCCCGCAAGAGCAAGGCGACAUCCAACGUCACCUACAACCCUGACGACCCACCCUCGGCGUACAACAACCCGUCCGUCCAUAGUCGUAUCCAGGCGUACACAGAGAUGGGAAGACAUGUCCAUGGGCCAGACUGGGAUCCGAGGACCCAGCCCCUUGAUGGAGAAGUCAUUAUGAGGGUGGGAGGAGGCAAGAAA